rnacentral:rRNA from 1 species
ACGUUCGACACCUACGGAGGCAGCAGUGGGGAAUAUUGGGCAAUGGGCGCAAGCCUGACCCAGCAACGCCGCGUGAAGGAAGAAGGCCCUCGGGUUGUAAACUUCUUUUAUCAGGGACGAAGCAAGUGACGGUACCUGAUGAAUAAGCCACGGCUAACUACGUGCCAGCACGCCGACGGUAAUCUGGAGGCGGGCGUGGACGAAGGC